CCUGGUGGCUUAGAGCGUAAAGCGUCUGCCUGCAAUGCGGGAGACCGGGGUUCAAUCCCUGAGUCAGGA
rnacentral:tRNA from 1 species